AAGAUCAUAUUUUUAGGCAUCAUUUCUAUAGUGUGCAUCUUGAAAACGUUAUCAAAAUACGAGAAUCCUUAACUACGAUGAUGUUGUAGGGAUUCCUUUUGAACAUAAAGCUUGGUUCGUUUUAUCUUCAGAUGUUGCGAGGUAUUGAGGAUUGUUCUUGGAUUUCCAUCGGAGAUCUAGGAGGAAGGAAUCUCCGACUGAGUAGU
rfam:Ciona savignyi cont_13400, whole genome shotgun sequence.